AUUGAACGCUGGCGGCAUGCCUUACACAUGCAAGUCGAACGGUAACAGGUCUUCGGAUGCUGACGAGUGGCGAACGGGUGAGUAAUACAUCGGGACGUGCCCAGACGUGGGGGAUAACGAGGCGAAAGCUUUGCCAAUACCGCAUACGAUCUAAGGAUGAAAGCAGGGGACCGCAAGGCCUUGUGCGUUUGGAGCGGCCGAUGGCAGAUUAGGUAGUUGGUGGGAUAAAAGCUUACCAAGCCGACGAUCUGUAGCUGGUCUGAGAGGACGACCAGCCACACUGGGACUGAGACACGGCCCAGACUCCUACGGGAGGCAGCAGUGGGGAAUUUUGGACAAUGGGCGAAAGCCUGAUCCAGCAAUGCCGCGUGCAGGAUGAAGGCCUUCGGGUUGUAAACUGCUUUUGUACGGAACGAAAAGGCUCUGGCUAAUACCUGGGGCACAUGACGGUACCGUAAGAAUAAGCACCGGCUAACUACGUG
rnacentral:rRNA from 1 species